rnacentral:rRNA from 1 species
CUCAGGACGAACGCUGGCGGCGUGCCUAACACAUGCAAGUCGAGCGAUGAAGCUUCUUCGGAAGUGGAUUAGCGGCGGACGGGUGAGUAACACGUGGGUAACCUGCCUCAUAGUGGGGAAUAGCCUUUCGAAAGGAAGAUUAAUACCGCAUAAGAUUGUAGCUUCGCAUGAAGUAGCAAUUAAAGGAUUUAUUCGCUAUAAGAUGGACCCGCGGCGCAUUAGCUAGUUGGUGAGGUAACGGCCCACCAAGGCGACGAUGCGUAGCCGACCUGAGAGGGUGAUCGGCCACAUUGGAACUGAGACACGGUCCAGACUCCUACGGGAGGCAGCAGUGGGGGAUAUUGCACAAUGGAGGAAACUCUGAUGCAGCAACGCCGCGUGAGGGAAGAAGGUUUUCGGAUUGUAAACUCCUGUCGUUAGGGACGAUAAUGACGGUACCUAACAAGAAAGCACCGGCUAACUACGUG